AUUGAACGCUGGCGGCAUGCCUUACACAUGCAAGUCGAACGGUAACAGGUCUUCGGAUGCUGACGAGUGGCGAACGGGUGAGUAAUACAUCGGAACGUGCCUAGUAGUGGGGGAUAACUACUCGAAAGAGUGGCUAAUACCGCAUGAGAUCUACGGAUGAAAGCAGGGGAUCGCAAGACCUUGUGCUACUAGAGCGGCCGAUGGCAGAUUAGGUAGUUGGUGGGAUAAAAGCUUACCAAGCCGACGAUCUGUAGCUGGUCUGAGAGGACGAUCAGCCACACUGGGACUGGGACACGGCCCAGACUCCUACGGGAGGCAGCAGUGGGAAAUUUUGGACAAUGGGCGAAGGCCUGAUCCAGCAAUGCCGCGUGCAGGAUGAAGGCCUUCGGGUUGUAAACUGCUUUUGUACGGAACGAAAAGCCCCGGGUUAAUACCCUGGGGUCAUGACGGUACCGUAAGAAUAAGCACCGGCUAACUACGUGCCAGCCGCCGCGGUAA
rnacentral:rRNA from 1 species